rnacentral:rRNA from 1 species
CCCAGGCUAAUACCGCAUACGUCCUACGGGAGAAAGGGGGCUUCGGCUCCCGCUAUUGGAUGAGCCUAUGUCGGAUUAGCUAGUUGGUGAGGUAAAGGCUCACCAAGGCAACGAUCCGUAGCUGGUCUGAGAGGAUGAUCAGCCACAUCGGGACUGAGACACGGCCCGAACUCCUACGGGAGGCAGCAGUGGGGAAUAUUGGACAAUGGGGGCAACCCUGAUCCAGCCAUGCCGCGUGUGUGAAGAAGGCCCUCGGGUUGUAAAGCACUUUCAGCGAGGAAGAACGCCUAGCGGUUAAUACCCGUUAGGAAAGACAUCACUCGCAGAAGAAGCACCGGCUAAUUCCGUGCCAGCAGCCGCGGUAAUACGGAGGGUGCAAGCGUUAAUCGGAAUUACUGGGCGUAAAGCGCGCGUAGGUGGCUUGAUAAGCCGGUUGUGAAAGCCCCGGGCUCAACCUGGGAACGGCAUCCGGAACUGUCAGGCUAGAGUGCAGGAGAGGAAGGUAGAAUUCCCGGUGUAGCGGUGAAAUGCGUAGAGAUCGGGAGGAAUACCAGUGGCGAAGGCGGCCUUCUGGACUGACACUGACACUGAGGUGCGAAAGCGUGGGUAGCAAACAGGAUUAGAUACCCUGGUAGUCCACGCCGUAAACGAUGUCGACCAGCCGUUGGGUGCCUAGAGCACUUUGUGGCGAAGUUAACGCGAUAAGUCGACCGCCUGGGGAGUACGGCCGCAAGGUUAAAACUCAAAUGAAUUGACGGGGGCCCGCACAAGCGGUGGAGCAUGUGGUUUAAUUCGAUGCAACGCGAAGAACCUUACCUACCCUUGACAUCUACAGAAGCCGGAAGAGAUUCUGGUGUGCCUUCGGGAACUGUAAGACAGGUGCUGCAUGGCUGUCGUCAGCUCGUGUUGUGAAAUGUUGGGUUAAGUCCCGUAACGAGCGCAACCCUUGUCCUUAUUUGCCAGCGAGUAAUGUCGGGAACUCUAAGGAGACUGCCGGUGACAAACCGGAGGAAGGUGGGGACGACGUCAAGUCAUCAUGGCCCUUACGGGUAGGGCUACACACGUGCUACAAUGGCCGGUACAAAGGGCUGCGAGCUCGCGAGAGUCAGCGAAUCCCUUAAAGCCGGUCUCAGUCCGGAUCGGAGUCUGCAACUCGACUCCGUGAAGUCGGAAUCGCUAGUAAUCGUGAAUCAGAAUGUCACGGUGAAUACGUUCCCGGGCCUU